rnacentral:rRNA from 1 species
GGGUCAGUAGGUUGGUCGUGCCACCGGUACGUACUGGUCUCACUGAUUCCUCCUUCCUGAAGAACCAUAAUGCCAUUAAUUUGGUGUUGCGGGGAAACAGGUCUGUUACUUUGAAAAAAUUAGAGUGUUUAAAGCAAGCUAACGCUUGAAUACAUUAGCAUGGAAUAAUGAAAUAGGACGAUCGAUCCUAUUUUGUUGGUUUCUAGGAUUGACGUA